rnacentral:lncRNA from 1 species
GUGCGUGGACGAGCGACCCCGCGCCCGGAUGACCCCUGGGAUUCCCGCCUCGUCUUCCAGCGGGGGACCUAGGGACGCACGGGCGGCUUCAGAUCCGGGAGCGCGAGGCCUAACAGCCGGGGGCCGAACUUGAACCUCGGAGGCGGCCGCGGGCGAGGGGCGGGGCCGAAGGGGCCGGGACCGCCGCCCCAGCUCGAGGACCCGUUAGACCGGCAAACCGCAGUCCCUGCCCCGCGGGCUUCCUUUACUUUUUGGGAGUGGGGGGCGGUUUCCCUGCUUUUUCCACCACAGCCCCUCCUCCCGCCGCAAUGUGGCUGAUGCUCAUAAAAAGUUGUAUUAAAGAGCUGACUGCAGCCGAGAAUCGAUCAACAAAAGCGACCAGCCUCUCUGGGUCUAUCCACGGCCUUCUCAACAGAUGACUUCAAGUUGAUUUCGUGCUUUAUUUCUUAAGAAUAGUGACUAACCUAAGGGAUCUGAUUCAAUUUAUUAGGAACACAGUGCCACCUUCCAAAAUUACUUACCUAAGAGGACUGAGCCUGCUGUCCCUGGAGCAGUUAGCUAAAACAGUGCCUCAGUACGGAGCGUACCUGUGUUAACUUCUAGAGUGCUGUUUCCGGCAGCUGCUGAAAUCCACGCUGAGGUUAUCAAGCUCAUCCUACAAAAUAAAGCAAGUUCUUCGCAAUUUAAAGCAAAAAUCUGGGCUUAUUUUUAGGGUUUUGGGGGAUGUGAAAGUUGUCUUAGAUAAGAUUCCAGGAAAGCUAAGAACUAACGAUGCAAUUACAGUCACCUUUCAACAACUUUGGGGAUUGGGUUGAGGAAGGUGUGAAAUUGGGAAAUAUAAUAAAAGGUAUUAUAUUAGUGACUUUCUAGAGUAGCCCUUGGCAGUCCUGUCUUUAAAGAGUAAUAACUGGAAAAAAAAAUGAAUGAUAAUACACUGCAUCCAAGAACCUUGCCUCUGGUGAGGGUAAUUUGCAAACGCAUUUUGGGAUAAUGUUCAGCAUUCAAUAUAAUCUUCCCUGGAAUUAGCAAUGCCUUUUGGGUCAGAGUUUCUUAGGUUUCUUCAGUCAUACAAUUAAAAUUGUUUCUGGAUUAUAUUGCCCAUAUUUGUUUCUAAUUCUCCAUUUUGCCUGUGUUUUAACUGCUAGCGAUUAAUAACUGCCAUAUAAUAAGCUAAGCAUUUAUUAUGUUUCAGGCACUGUUCUAACUGCAUUAAAAUAAUAUCUCAUUUAAUUCUCAUAAAUUUUGAGAAAAGUUUUAUUAUUCCUAUUUUACAGUUGAGUAAACUGAGGCUUAAAGUUAAGCAUAUUGUCCAAGGUGCCUCCACUCCUUAGUCAUAAGCUAAAUUUGAUCUGAGUGACUCCAAAACCUGUUCUCUUAAUGGUUAUGCUGAAAUGCCCUUCUUAGAAUGAUUCCUCAGGAAGUCAAAUGCUAGGUAUAUAGUACAACCACUUUGGAAAACUGGCAAUAUCUGUUAAAGUUAAACAUAUGAAAACCCUAUGGCCCAGCAGUUCCACGCUUAGGAAUAUACCAAUGUCCCAUGUGUGCCAAAAGACUAUUAAAUCACUCAGAGCAACCCUAUUCAUAAAUAACCCCCAACCAGGAAACAACCCAAAUGGUCAUAAACAGUAAAAUAGAUAAAUAAUUGGUGGUAUAUUCAUACAACAGAGUACAUUCUACCACACUAAGAAUGAACAAUCUGCUUCCAAAUGCAGUAAAAUAUAUGAACCUUACAAAUGUGCUAAGUGAAAAAAGGGAGAUGUACAAUUGCGGGACUCCAUUUAUGUGAAGUACAGAAACAGACAAAAGUCAUUGAUGCUAUUCAAAGUCAGGAUAGUGGUUACCCUUGAGAGAGAGCUGAUGACUAGGAGAGAACACCAAUCGGCUUCUGGGGAGCUGGUAGUGUUGUUUCUUGAGCUGGGUACUGGUGUGUUCAGUUUGUGAAAAUUCAUUGAGCUGUACUAUUGAUAUAUGCAUCUCUGUGUAUGUAAAUUAUGCUUCAAUAAAAAGCUUUAAAAUGCUGU